GCAGCCAGCCGGCUACACGUGCUCCAACACUUUCUGCCAGUCUGCCACCACAGAGUUAGCAACAGUCUGCGUUUCGCCUCCCUCACUUCUCCAAGCCAGUCGCUCUGCACUGCGGCAGGCAGGGGAAGCAGACACACACUCUCACACACUCCCCUCAGCUCCACUCCCAUAUUUUUUGGAAGGGAAGAGACAAGGCGCGAGCUAAAGCCCGACAGCACAACGAUUUUUCGUAUUUCUUUGCGGGGAGCUGCUGCAAAAUCCAGAAAACAUUCAGGGAUUUCUGCUUCCUCGCCUGCCGUGCUGAAAGUUGUCUCAAAGAUGUCUGGAGUAUCGUCAUUACAAAGGGAAUAUGCACAACUCGACCCGCCUGCCAAUAAAGAGACACACAAAAAGUGAGAAGGAAGGAAGGGAAAUUUGGACCUCUGUGGUGGAUUUUGGAAGCGAGCGAACACGCAAUGUUCCAAGGGUCUUUUUUUUUUUUUUUUUUUUCUGGAUCAGAGUGAGAAGACAGGAGCGAUGCCAAAGGUUUCUCCCUGCCCUCUUUUGAAAACACUCUUGCAGCAGUCGACCCCUUGGGCACUGGCUACGCUUAGUCUAAACCUGUGUGCUGCUGCUGAUAAAGCAAUGGAAAUCUCCUGCGCUCACUCCAGGAUAUAGAUGCAGCCGGGCCUUGUAAAUGUGCAGAUCCUGCACUCUCCAUAUGCAGUAUAAAUCAUAUCCAGCGCAGCGGUAUCCAGCCAGGCAAGCCAUCCAGCAACCGGCUCGCAGCCCGGAGAAAGCAUAACCCCAGUGGAGGAGAAAGAGAGGCAGAGAGCGGUGGACUGAAUGAACUGCGAAGAGAAAGAGAGAGAGGAGAGAGGAGAGAGGCGCUCCCAGACAGGGUGACCUACAUUUAACACUGUCUGGAGUCAAAGGCAGACCAAGAGGGAGAGAUGAAGAGAGAGGCGGAGAGCGAGCGGAGACACAAUGCAAUGAGAAUGACAUAGCACGAAAGAGAGAUGAUCAAGAGAGGAAGAUGCAAAGACUAUCAGAAAAUAGCAGUGACAGAGGGAGAGAGCUGAUCCUCAUCUGAGAUCAUCCAUUUCCUACUCGGCUCCCCCUGCCUUUUCCCCUCUCUGCGUUCAGUCAUUCCCGUUUUUGCUCUCUUCCUCUACCCAUAUCAUCUUUCCGUCUGCUGUUUUGCUGCUUUAUUUUCGCCUCUUACUAGUAAUCAACCAUUGUCCGGCGCGUCUGGGGGAAACGCGACUGUGUGUGUUGUAACCGUAGCCUAUGACACACUAACAGUCAUUUGUAGGGUGGCUACUUUGCACACUUUUGUUGUUUUUAACACACGAUGUUCAUAAUCUGUUUGUUUUGUCUGUUUUUUCCUCUACCCUUCUUUCUCUGCAUGUUAUUCUUUAACCCCCCCGCCCCAAACCCCCACCCCCUUCCCAUGUCCAGCUAUCCCACGAGCCCUCCCCGACCGCAAUGAUCUCUUAGCUCUCGUUUCUCCUCCUCUGUCAGCGUUUAUUUAUCUCUGAGUGGCUGGGUAGUAUUUUUAUUGUGGAUCCCUUUGUCUAGAUCCAUGGCGUUAUCUAGUGUCACUGGAGGGGAAGAGCAGCACCAAAGCAGCAGCAGCAGCAGCAGCAGCUCUAUCUGCCUCUCUGUGAGACUGACUCAUGAUCUUGGCUUCAUAUCUGUCCGCCUGCCUUAUGGAUGGAAAGCUGUCUGUCUGAAAGCUGUUACCAGCCGACACAUCCAGCAACACAGGCACUUGAUCUCAGAUAACCAGGUAAGUGUUGCGCUCUCUUUUGCAGACAACCAGGCUUAUGCAGUCUGUAAUCCUCUCUUUGUCAUUUGAUUUGAUCAGUUGCAUGAACAUGUACAUGCUACAAGAACUGCACUUUUGUCCUUCUUAAAAAUCUGUGUAAAAUAGGAUCAAUUAAAAAAAUGAUUUGGCAAGAU